rnacentral:rRNA from 1 species
AUUGAACGCUGGCGGCAAGCCUAACACAUGCAAGUCGAGCGGAUGAAGGGAGCUUGCUCCUGGAUUCAGCGGCGGACGGGUGAGUAAUGCCUAGGAAUCUGCCUGGUCGUGGGGGAUAACGUCCGGAAACGGGCGCUAAUACCGCAUACGUCCUGAGGGAGAAAGUGGGGGAUCUUCGGACCUCACGCUAUCAGAUGAGCCUAGGUCGGAUUAGCUAGUUGGUGGGGUAAAGGCCUACCAAGGCGACGAUCCGUAACUGGUCUGAGAGGAUGAUCAGUCACACUGGAACUGAGACACGGUCCAGACUCCUACGGGAGGCAGCAGUGGGGAAUAUUGGACAAUGGGCGAAAGCCUGAUCCAGCCAUGCCGCGUGUGUGAAGAAGGUCUUCGGAUUGUAAAGCACUUUAAGUUGGGAGGAAGGGAAGUAAGUUAAUACCUGGCUGUUUUGACGUUACCAACAGAAUAAGCACCGGCUAACUUCGUG